rnacentral:rRNA from 1 species
CAGCCGCCGCGGUAAUACAUAGGUCCCGAGCGUUGUCCGGAUUUAUUGGGCGUAAAGGGAGCGCAGGCGGUUUAGUAAGUCUGAAGUUAAAGGCAUUGGCUCAACCAAUGUAUGCUUUGGAAACUGGGAAACUUGAGUGCAGAAGAGGAGAGUGGAAUUCCACGUGUAGCGGUGAAAUGCGUAGAGAUGUGGAGGAACACCAGUGGCGAAGGCGACUCUCUGGUCUGUAACUGACGCUGAGGAGCGAAAGCGUGGGGAGCGAACAGGAUUAGAUACCCGGGUAGUCCCUGUCUCUUAUACA